rnacentral:rRNA from 1 species
UAUCUCUGUAGAGUCUGCAUAUCAAUAAGCGGAGGAAAAGAAACUAACUAGGAUUCCCUCAGUAACGGCGAGUGAAGCGGGAUAGAGCUCAAAUUUGAAAUCUUCAAGGUUCUACCUUGACGAAUUGUAGUUUAUAGAAGUGUUUUCUGUUAGUGGAGUGGCAAAAGUUCUUUGGAAUAGGACAUCAUAGAGGGUGAGAAUCCCGUAUUUGGUCAUUCCUCCUAGCGUUGUGAUACACUUUCAACGAGUCGGAUUGUUUGGGAAUGCAGUCCAAAAUGGGUGGUAAAUUUCAUCUAAAGCUAAAUAUCGGCGAUGAGACCGAUAGCGAACAAGUACCGUGAGGGAAAGAUGAGAAGAACUUUGAAAAGAGAGUUAAAACAGUACGUGAAAUUGUCAAAAGGGAAGCGUUUGACACCAGUGUUGUUUUCUCGAAAAUCAAUUAAAAAAGAUUGGAUUUCGUGUAGUAUUGACUUUCAUCAGCUCGCUGCUUUCUUCUCAGAAAUUAUUGAAUGCACUUUUCAGUUAACAAGUCAACAUCAAUUUCUUUUGUUGUAAAAGGGUAAGAGGAAGGUGGCUUGCGCUUCGGCUCAAGUGUUUAUAGCCUUUUAUCUCUGCAAUCGGAGAGAUUGAGGUCUGCAGCGUAGAUCCUUCGGGGUUAGAUACAUUGGUGCUAAGCUAUAGCCUUGUAUAGACAACUUGUUGACUAUGCUCAGUCAUGUAGCUUACUCGCUGAUGCUAUUUUACCUACGCUUAGGAUGUUGACGAGACUGUCGAUCUC